rnacentral:rRNA from 1 species
UGCAAGUCGAACGGUAACGCGGGGCACCUGGCGACGAGUGGCGAACGGGUGAGUAAUGCAUCGGAACGUGCCCAGUAGUGGGGGAUAGCUCGGCGAAAGCCGGAUUAAUACCGCAUACGACCUACGGGUGAAAGGGGGGGAUCGCAAGACCUCUCGCUAUUGGAGCGGCCGAUGUCAGAUUAGGUAGUUGGUGGGGUAAAGGCCUACCAAGCCGACGAUCUGUAGCUGGUCUGAGAGGACGACCAGCCACACUGGGACUGAGACACGGCCCAGACUCCUACGGGAGGCAGCAGUGGGGAAUUUUGGACAAUGGGGGCAACCCUGAUCCAGCCAUGCCGCGUGCGGGAAGAAGGCCUUCGGGUUGUAAACCGCUUUUGUCAGGGAAGAAAAGCUUCGGGCUAAUACCUCGAGGCGAUGACGGUACCUGAAGAAUAAGCACCGGCUAACUACGUGCCAGCAGCCGCGGUAAUACGUAGGGUGCAAGCGUUAAUCGGAAUUACUGGGCGUAAAGCGUGCGCAGGCGGUUGUGCAAGACAGAUGUGAAAUCCCCGGGCUCAACCUGGGAACUGCAUUUGUGACUGCACGGCUGGAGUACGGCAGAGGGGGAUGGAAUUCCGCGUGUAGCAGUGAAAUGCGUAGAUAUGCGGAGGAACACCGAUGGCGAAGGCAAUCCCCUGGGCCUGUACUGACGCUCAUGCACGAA